CCAGACAGGGCACUGUCUGUGGCCCCAGGGGUUGAGGACCCCUGGCUUUAACAACAGAAAGGUACCAUCUUACAGUUCUGGAGGCCAAAGUCUGAUAUCCAGACCCCAGUUACUGGAUUGGGAUCCACCCUCACUCAAUAUGGCCUCAGCUUAAUGAAAGACAUCUGCAGAGACCCUAUUUCUACUAAAAGCCACAUUCUGAGACUUCUCGUGGGCGUGAGUUUUUGAGAGACACUGUUCUGCUCCAUGCAGGGAGGGAAUUGGGAUCUGAAGACGUUGCAUUCGAGGUCUCGGGGCUCCUGAUGAGCAGCCUCGGCCUGACCUGGGGCAGGUGUGAUGUCUGCGGCUCACCAUCUCCACCCUGCCUGCUGUGGAAUCUCCACAACGACAGGUGCUUUGGAGGCCAGAGUGCAUGCGUACGGGCCCUGCACACGCUGAAUGUCACUGGGAACAAGGACACACCCCGCUUCCAGGAGAAGAUAGAACAUGUCGACCCCUUUUAGCCAUCCCCAGUGCAGGACAUGCUAUUGACUUCCAUGAGACAAACACCUACUUGGAAAUCAGGUUUUUUCUGUACCUUUUGAAGGAGCAGGAAUUUCCCAGCAUUUCCUGGACAAAGACGGAGGCCACAUUCGCUGCAUCCUUUCCAGCAAGAUGUCAUUCUGAGAUUUUUGUCAUUCCUGGGCGUUAUGAGGACUGCCAAGGGACACAAUUCCAUGGGAGGAAAGUUUUCUUCUAAGCUGCAAGCCAGCUCUGGCUUCUGGAGUUUCUCCUUAGGAUUGCAAGACAGUAGUUCCCUGUCCUUUAGGUCUUCUCCAGAAAUACCUUAAAAUAGCAAAUAAAAUAAGAUAUAAGCAAACAAAACCU
rnacentral:lncRNA from 1 species